GGAUCCCUCGGGGCGCAGCAGUGGGGAAUAUUGCACAAUGGGGGAAACCCUGAUGCAGCAACGCCGCGUGAGUGAAGAAGGUUUUCGGAUUGUAAAGCUCUGUUAGCAGGGAAGAGGAAGGACGGUACCUGCAGAGGAAGCCACGGCUAACUACGUGCCAGCAGCCGCGGUAAUACGUAGGUGGCAAGCGUUGUUCGGAAUAACUGGGCGUAAAGGAUGCGUAGGCGGUUAAACAAGGUAUAUGUUAAAUAUAUAGGCUUAAACUGUAGAAAGCAUAUAAAACUGUUUAACUAGAGUGCAGGAGG
rnacentral:rRNA from 1 species